rnacentral:rRNA from 1 species
CCUACGGGGGGCUGCAGUGGGGAAUAUUGCACAAUGGGCGAAAGCCUGAUGCAGCAACGCCGCGUGAGCGAUGAAGGCGUUCGGGUCGUAAAGCUCUGUCCUCAAGGAAGAUAAUGACGGUACUUGAGGAGGCAGCCCCGGCUAACAACGUGCCAGCAGCCGCGGUACUACGUCGGGGGCUAGCGUUCUCCGGAAUUACUGGGCGUAAAGGGUGCGUAGGGGGUUUCUUAAGUCAGUGGUGAAAGGGUACGGUUCAACCGUAGUAAGCCUUUGAAACUGGGGAACUUGAGUGCAGGAGAGGAGAGUGGAAUUCCCAGUGUAGCGGUGAAAUGCUUAGAUAUUAGGAGGAACACCAGUUGCGAAGGCGGCUCUCUGGACUGUAACUGACACUGAGGCACGAAAGCGUGGGGAGCAAACAGGAUUAGAUACCCGAGUAGUC